rnacentral:tRNA from 1 species
UCAUCCUCUGUGGUGUCGGCUUUGGGCUUCAAGCGUUCCCGUUGAGCUUUAUGGAAGGACGCUAAAGCUUGUUUCAAUUCCU